GCCAACGGCCAUAGCGUGCUGGUCACACCGGUUCCCGUACGAUCACCGAAGUUAAGCAGCAUCG
rnacentral:rRNA from 1 species